rnacentral:lncRNA from 1 species
AAAGAACCCAGGAAGCAACUGGCUACGAAAGCCGCUCGCAAAAGUGCGCCCUCUACUGGAGGGGUGAAGAAACCUCAUCGUUACAGGCCUGGUACUGUGACACUCGGUGAUAUUAGACAUUAUCAGAAGUCCACUGAACUUCUGAUUCGCAAACUUCCCUUCUAGGGUCUGGUGCGAGAAAUCGCUUAGCACUUUAAAACAGAUCUGCGCUUUCAGAGCUCAGCUGUCGGUACUUUGCAGGAGGCAGGUGAGGAUUAUCUGGUUGGCCUUUUUGAAGACAACAACCUGUGUGCUAUCCAUGCCAAACGUGUAACAAUUAUGCCAAAAGACAUGCAGCUAGCACGCCGCAUACGUGGAGAACGUGCUUA